CGUAGACACAAGAUCCGAUACGAUCACCGAAGUAAAUCAACCUCGAGCCUGGUUACUAACUAGAUGGGUGACCACUUGGGAAUACCAGGUGCUGUAAG